rnacentral:antisense_RNA from 9 species
AAUAACCAAAAAUGAUGCUGGGGCUAAGAGUUAAGUUGGUAAUUUUUCUUACAUCUCCCCCACCUGGAGCCCAGGUAUCAUAUACACCUCCAAAAUAAACAGCUUUAAAUACCAGAAGAAAAGCACCUAGACCUAACAAAAUUAGGUGAAUGCCCAAAAUUGUAGUCAUUUUAUUUCGAUCUUUCCA